UACGGAGGGGGCUAGCGUUGUUCGGAAUUACUGGGCGUAAAGCGCACGUAGGCGGCUUUGUAAGUUAGAGGUGAAAGCCCGGGGCUCAACCCCGGAAUUGCCUUUAAGACUGCAUCGCUAGAAUCCGGGAGAGGUGAGUGGAAUUCCGAGUGUAGAGGUGAAAUUCGUAGAUAUUCGGAAGAACACCAGUGGCGAAGGCGGCUCACUGGACCGGCAUUGACGCUGAGGUGCGAAAGCGUGGGGAGCAAACAGG
rnacentral:rRNA from 1 species